CAUGAGAAAAAAAAAAUAAAAGCACACAUGGGCGGGCUCAAACAAGAACGAGCUUCACCAUUCCCUCACCCUCACAUAUAUUUACAUUUUUAAAUAUUUCACCAUCUUCCUCUGCUCAAAGGCCUGCUUGGGAAAAAAGGAAGAGGGAAAAAAAGCACGAUGAACCCUUGUUUGGUGUGCACUGAUCUAUUUUUUCAUCAUAUUAGGUAACAUUUCCUCACAGAGAUUCUUUUUUUUUCCCAUGUUGCACCCUUCCUGAGUGGCAGGUGGACUGGACAAAAAUGAAACUGCAGCACAUUCAAAAAAGAAGAAACGUGCAUGCUUGGAGUCUUUUUUUUUUUUCUUUACUUGGCACCAUUUUGCAACCUUCUCGCUCAGAAGGUUAACAAAAGAGAAUUGUUUAAACAUCUGCACAUGAAUUAUAAUUUGGAAAUUAAAUGCAUAUUUAAAAAUGAGAAAGAAAAGAAAGAUGUGCUGUUUUCUAUUUUGAGGUCAAAUAUUAUGAUAAUUAUUAUUAUUUAAAAAUCGUUUUGCAGUCAUUUAUUUGAGACAAAAGGUUCAAAAAUACAGUUGUGGAAACAGAUUAGAAUACAAGAAAGGCAUUUCUAUUUAAACUGGGACGUUGACAAAGAAAUGCUCUGCCCACUGCAUCAGCUGUUCCCAAUUUGUAAAUAAAACAAUUCCAUCUUUAA